rnacentral:rRNA from 1 species
GACGGGUGAGUAACACGUGGGAACGUACCCUUUGGUUCGGGAUAACUCUGGGAAACUAGAGCUAAUACCGGAUACGCCCUUACGGGGAAAGGUUUACUGCCGAAGGAUCGGCCCGCGUCUGAUUAGCUAGUUGGUGGGGUAACGGCCUACCAAGGCGACGAUCAGUAGCUGGUCUGAGAGGAUGAUCAGCCACACUGGGACUGAGACACGGCCCAGACUCCUACGGGAGGCAGCAGUGGGGAAUAUUGGACAAUGGGCGCAAGCCUGAUCCAGCCAUGCCGCGUGAGUGAUGAAGGCCUUAGGGUUGUAAAGCUCUUUUAUCCGGGACGAUAAUGACGGUACCGGAGGAAUAAGCCCCGGCUAACUUCGUGCCAGCAGCCGCGGUAAU